GGUACUUGGAGAGAGGUGGUCCGUGGCGCGUUCGCUUUAUUUAUGGCGCACAUUACACGGUCGACCUCUUUGCAGUAUCUAAUC
ensembl:miRNA MIR323A microRNA 323a